rnacentral:rRNA from 1 species
UACGAAGGGGGGCUAGCGUUGCUCGGAAUUACUGGGCGUAAAGGGCGCGUAGGCGGACAGUUAAGUCAGAGGUGAAAGCCCCAGGGCUCAACCCUGGAAUAGCCUUUGAUACUGGCUGUCUUGAGUGCGGGAGAGGUGUGUGGAACUCCGAGUGUAGAGGUGAAAUUCGUAGAUAUUCGGAAGAACACCAGUGGCGAAGGCGACACACUGGCCCGUAAACUGACGCUGAGGCGCGAAAAGCGUGGGGGAGCAAACAGG